UACGUAGGGUGCGAGCGUUAAUCGGAAUUACUGGGCGUAAAGCGUGCGCAGGCGGUUCGUUGUGUCGGUGGUGAAAGCCCCGGGCUUAACCUGGGAAUGGCCAUGGAAACUGGCGAACUGGAGUGUGGCAGAGGGGGGUGGAAUUCCGCGUGUAGCAGUGAAAUGCGUAGAUAUGUGGAGGAGCACCGAUGGCGAAGGCAGCCCCCUGGGUUAACACUGACGCUCAUGCACGAAAGCGUGGGGAGCAAACAGG
rnacentral:rRNA from 1 species